rnacentral:tRNA from 1 species
GCUGUGAUGACCGAGUGGUUAAGGCGUUGGACUAGAAAUGCAAUGGGAUCUUCCCUCGUAGGUUCGAACUCUACUCACAGCG